rnacentral:misc_RNA from 1 species
GAACUGCGAUAAGUGUGGUGAAUCGCAGAACACCCGCGAACCAUGAAAACGUUGAACGCACACUGCAGCUCCAGGUCCGCCUGGAGCUACGUGCUGCUGAGUGUCGGCUCAAACUUAAUGGAGAAGCCACAGCAAUGUGACCGAUCCGAUGUGUCAGUGUCACUCACCAUGACUCUGAUGAAGUAUAAGACUGUAUCAAUGGGUGAGCUAUGAUCAACAUCGUUCUGGAGGCUGUAUGGGAUUGUGGUCAUCAUUGUCUCUCAGUUCGAUGGAGGUUAUCACUCGGCGAUCUGUCUACCUGUCUGCAUCAAGGGCGAUCUCACAAGGAUCAACUGAGAUAAGGACAAACUCCAGAGGGAUAAUAGGCACUUGUGUCUAUCUAUCUCCGCCCACUGACCUC